rnacentral:misc_RNA from 1 species
AAUUCUCAACCUUUCCAGCUUUUUUGAGCUUGGUCAGGCUUGGAUGUGGGGGUUGCGGGCUUCUCAGAAGUCGGCUCUCCUCAAAUGCAUUAGUGAGACCUUUGUUGACCAUCUCUUGGUGUGAUAAUUAUCUACGCCGCUAGAGUGUCAGCCUCAACUUGUUUGAGAGGUUCCGCUUCUAAUCGUCCUUGGGGACAACUUCUGACA